ensembl:lncRNA
CUAAAAUCAAGUCUAAUAUGACAGUAUGUACACUGUCAACCAUUUUGGCGUCAUAAAUUGACGAAAUGUGAACGUACACUUCAAAUAGGCUUCCGGUCUUUUGAAGGAUCUUGCCCAAAGCACACUGGAGCUGUUGUGGGGACUUGUGGUGGCGACCAGCAUCUUAUUAAGAUAACAGAUGCAGGUUUCUCCGGUGCUUCAGGUAGCUGUCGGUGUGACCACCGGUCCAGCCGAGAUGUAAUGACUUUGGUCCUUUACAGGGUGCUGCGGGGGGGAAGGGAGCGCGAGGAGAGAUCGGUCCAGCCGGGCAAAUGGGCGUUCCUGGAAGCUCGGGCUCCCCCGGGAGAGACGGCCCCCCGGGGGCAAGGGUAAGACCAUUAACUGACAAGUACCCUGUGACGGGGUUCUCUCUCUUUACUUACUGAAUCCCACAAAAACAAUGGCGUAGUCGUAGGCAGAGUUGGUGCCGUGAGGGACGCUCCGUCACAUGUGUUUCUAGGAGUUACAAUAUAGUUUAGAGAUGCAUAUAUCUACAUUACCCGCAUCUAUAUACAGUAUAUAGCUCUAGAUAACAUAGGUAAAUUAUAUGUUGAUUUGAUAUUAAACCAAAACCCUGUGUCAGUAAGAUGAGAUAAUAAAGUAAUAAAAUAUGUGUGUUGAGUUUUUAGAACGUAGUUUUCAGGCUUGUCGCGUGAUUUCCUUCUGGACAAUAGUUUAUUUAUUU